UUGAGGGCUUCAGAGAACAUUCAACGCUGUCGGUGAGUUUGAGAAAGUGUAAAAAUAUAAACCAUCGGCCGUUGACUGUACCCUGAGGCUUUUCA
ensembl:miRNA xtr-mir-181a-2 xtr-mir-181a-2